CCAGGAGGUCAAGGCUACAAUAAGGUAUGAUUGCACAACUGUACUCUAGCCUGGGUGAGGGCGUGAGCAGGUGCAGGUGGCCACCCCAGGUUAUGGGGUUGGCUGUGGAGCACUGGGGAAGGCUCCAGGGUAAGCAGGGGUAGGUGGCCCCCGUGGGUUUUGGGGUUGGCUUUGGGGCACCAUGGAAGGCUUCGGGGUGAGUAGGGGCAGGUGGCCCCCUGGGUUAUGGGGUUGGCUGUGGAGUACCGUGGAAGGCUUUGGGGUGAGUAGGGGCAGGUGACCCCCUGGGUUAUGGGGUUGGCUGUGGAGCACCGUGGAAGGCUCUGGGUUGAGUAGGGGCAGGUGGCCCCCUGGGUUUUGGGGUUGGCUGUGGGGCACCGUGGAAGGCUCCGGUGUGAGCAGGGGUAGGUGGCUGCUUUAAGAGAGGUUGUGUCCCCUGGGUGCCCCCUGGUUUUGCACCCCUGAAGCCCUGGCCACCCCAUCCUGCAGUUCCCUCCUGAAGGACCAGGCAAAGCCAGGACCACCCUGGACAAGAGGAGGAAUUGUCCUUCUGAGCCCUGACGGUUCCGUGAUCAGACCCGGGACCUGCUCCAGGCUCUGUUUUAGUGUCUCACGUCCUCUUAGGGUACAUUGAAGAAGCAUUGUCGGUGCCAGGGUCAGCCAGGGUCAGCCAGGCCUGUGUUCCUCACUGUGCCCCUCCUCACUCCUGCAGAGGCCUAGGGACCUGGAAGGAACUUGCCACCUGUGGGUGACCUUUCUCAGAAGGUAAAAUGCAGGGUGGGGCGAGCCCCACUGGCCUUGGAGAGUCUGUCCUCGGGCCCAGAGGGUGCCAGUUGGGGGAGGCGCAGAAGGACUGAGACACUUGGAUUCCACAGAGAGGUCACCGUGGUACAGUCCAGACUGUUGUUUUUAAUUUUAAAGGAAAGAAUUUGUUAUGACGACUGUUCUCAUUCUCCUUUAGGCAUUUUUAACAUGUGUUCCAGGCAGACCAGGCUGUGGCCCUUCCCUCGUGGCUGGUGCAGGCCACGCCUCCCCCCGGCCCAGCGAGUAGGGAGGUUUGGCUCUGGCAUGACCCUCCGGGGCACAAGUGUCCUCGGGGAGCUGGUCCCUACUACAUAGAGGCCACCUGGCGUCACUUGGCAGAGGAGGACGGGGCACCACCCUGCAGAGAAGCGUCCAUCUGCCCGUCAGUGUGCGGCCACACUUGGUGGUCCUCUUCACCUUGGCCUCUUGUUGAGCGCACCUCCCACCUGCACAGCAUCCUGCGUCGUAGCCAACACCACCUCCUCCAUGGACCUCAGUCUGCAGCCGUCACUCCAUGUCUGCAGCUGGGGCCCUGGCCAGCCCCCAUGGCGCAGUGCUGGGGGGUUCCUCUGGGUCCCUGUAGCCUCCAUAACAUAACCUGGGAGCAGGAAGAUCCCCCUGGGUCUGCUCACCUGGUGGGGGGCAGCCAUCACCAAAGCCGUCUGCCUGCAUCACCGGCUGAAUUGCAGCCAUGAUCCCACAAGGAAGCCUUGUCUCAGCUUUACAGAGGAGGAGGAGGCCCAGAGAGAGAAAGCAACUGCCCAGAGUCACACAGCUCAGGGAGGUUGUGUUCAGGGUGAGGUCUGUGCUCCCGCAGGGCCAGUGAGUGUCUUUCCUGUGGCAGCCGCUGGCCCACGUGUGUGGUGAUGACACCAAGCACACGGACCACGCGUGUGUUCAGAUGCUGCCUGGGCUUCACGUUGGUGCCCAUUUCUCUCUGGACCUUACGAAGACAAGUUUGCGGAGGCAUGGCAGCCCGUGCAUGCUGUUGGUGGGCACCUGGAAAAAAUAGCCAGAAGCUGUAAGCUCAGGAAGUGAUGAGCCAGCCAAGGGCUCCGUUCACAACACCCUGCACAGUGAACAGAGCUGAGUAAAUGGGGCUGCUUAGCGAAAAUCAUCGGACUCGAAGCUCCCUGAUGGCUCCAACAUCUUCCGUGACUCUGGGCAACUCCUGUGCAAUGGGAGGCCGUGCCCUGCCAUGUCCCCGCCUUCCUGCCCACAAGCCUGCCCUGUCCCAGCCACUGGGGUCUCACUCACCCAUCAGCCUGGAAACAGACGCAUGUCGGCACCCUCCCAGCCCCUCUGCGAGAGCCUCUCCAUAGCCUCGCUGUUGAGCCCGUGGCAGUGAAGGUCCCAGGCGCUGGAGCAGACGGCGUGGGCUCAGUCCUGGCACUGCCUGCCCUGCAGUCCUGGGCUGCUUACAGCUGAGCCUGACCUUGAAUUCCCCGUCUUUAAAACAAGGAUGAUGAGGCUUCAUGCUCCCUAGGUCCUCGCGAGGACUCACUCAAUGCACUGGAGCCAGGUGUGAGUAGGAAACCUGCCUUUCUGGCCUGAUCCUCCCCCCGGGAGCACAGGGUGGUCCUCAUCUGAACCCCGAGGGGGUCUCCCUGGCAUGCCCUUUCUCCCUGGACCCCUAGCCAUUCCAGGUGCAGCUGCCAGUGCGACCCCUCCUGCGGACAGGAGGUCCAUGUGAGGGCUCAGCUGCCUCUGAACCGGAAAGGCGCUGGCAGGCAGUGGCUGGGAGAGCAGGCGCACCCUGGGCGGCCUCCAGGAGAGAAAGGGAGACGUGUGCAUCUCAGUGGGGGCUGGCGGGAGACACUAAGGUGUUGAAGACCCUCGGGUCUGGGCCCUGUGGAAAUGCUCCCUGCGGGUGCCACCAGCCCUGCCCACUCAGCAGUCACUUGAGAACGCCCCGAGCAUCUGGCCCAGGAGGCUCGGCCUGGAGCCUCACAUGUGCGGAGGUUUGGCUCAGCCCCCAAGGGCAGGCCCAGGUCUGUGGCGGGGUGUGGGGAGGCAGCGGAGCCAUGGGUACUGUGUAGCGGGUAGGGCUGUGACCGGAGGUGGCAAAGCCGGCAGCCAGCCCGGCCCUUGGGGGAGAGGGUGGCAGGGUCAGGGUCUCUGAACUCUGGAAGGAACCUGCGUCCCUCAUCCUGAAACCCGGCCUCCUGUGUCUCUCAGACAGUGGCUCUCAGUCACUUUGGUCUCUGGUCCCUCUGCCCCUUGAUUUUUUAAGUUGUUCUAGCUCAGAAGCCAUUGUGUGUAUGGUGUGACUACACCCCAGCCAGGGCAUGAGUGCACACAGAUCCAGGGUCCGUGCAGAGCCCGCCAGGUGUAGGGUGGAUGCUGAGGCCCACCUGGCUGAAACUGCACUCAGGCCAUUUUACUGAUGUCAGGAAACGUUCAUGAAAAUGCAAGCUGGUGAGCAGGCAAGUGCCCCCCUGCAUGACAGACCCUCCUGGUGCCCCUGGCUCAGACAGUGUGACCUUGAGAACAGCGGGGGUCUAACCCCUGACCCCAGCGUCCGUGUCACCUGGGAGCCUCACCUUGAGACCCCUGCGUUGUGGUUCUGAAAUCACUUGAGUGGGCCGUGGCCACCGUGAGGCGGAGAAAGAGGAAAUACCUGCCAGAAGAUCAAAUUGCAAUCCGUGUAAUUUAAAGAUCUCACUGGGCUUUGUUGGCGAUUCUAGAGUGGGGCAGCACUGCAUUCCAUGAACUAGAAUUAAGAGCUCCAGUGAAACACGCAGUGCGGGGCCGGCUGUACAGACAGGGCUGAGGAAAGCAGAAACUGUGCAAACGCGGUUCGGCGGCCUCAGUCACUGUCCUUUGUAAGCUUGGGGAGUCGGCGGGAGAGACGUGACCCACUGGCCACUUCAGGCGGCUCUGUGUCGUAAGGAUCAGUUUCACAUUAGGUGAUUGCCGGACUUACAUCAAGCUUGAAGAAGCAGAAGAUCCCUGCACACACGUGUGGCCCAGACCAAGAGCCGUCACGUGACAAACUUUGUGCUUAAAUGGGUUUUUAGUAUGUGUAUCUUUUCUUUUUCUUUUUUUUUUUUUUUUUUGAGAUGGAGUCUCGCUCUGUCACCCAGGCUGGAGUGCAGUGGCACAAUCUCAGCUCACAGCAACAUCCACCUCCCAGGUUCAAAAGAUUCUCCAGCCUCAGCUUCCUGAGUACCUGGGACUACAGGCACCUGCCACCAUGCCCAGCUAAUUUUUGUAUCUUUAGUAGGGAGGGGGUUUCGCCAUGUUGACCAGGCUGGUCUUGAACUCCUGACCUCAAGUGAUUUGUCCACCUUGGCCUCCCAAAGUGUUGGCAUUUAUAGGCGUGAGCCACUGUGCCCGGCCAAGUACGGGUAUCUUUUUGGCAGUGUGAAGAAUUUAUUUAGGCUUGACUGUUUUAAAGCACCAUAAUGAAUGUAUAAUUAAGUUAUGAUAAAGUCUUAACCCUUUGUUACAGGGGAACGGUAAUGUUGUGAGUGGCUGUGUCUCAGCCCCUGGACUCCAGCAGUCACCCUCAUAGGAGUCCCACCUCUGCGGGCAGCUCAGAGCCUCCAUGUUUUUAUAUUUAAUUCUCAUGGUUAAAUUCAGUGCCGUAACUCAUGGAAUUAAGUCUUUUUAAAAUCUAAGCAAACUGUCUUUAAGACAGAAAAAGUUGGGUAAUUCUUCAUCUAUUUGAAGUGAUGCUCUCUGGAUGGGCUGCAUCCUAAGAAUGUAUCAAAAGUGGAAAUUCUGACCACUGUUUUGAUUGUCCUUUUACAUAUUAAACAAGUUGAGAGCAAGAACAACAAAAAGAGGGACCUCCGUGACCACGCCGAGGAAGACAGAGCCUGGCCUGGUUGGAAGAUUGGCCUCUCCUCUGUCUCCUGUUUUCUCCAAGGUCCGAUAACAACUCAGUUUCCCUUGGAGUGUGGGGACUUCAUUUUGAUUUUCAGUCUGAUCUGUUGGGGUCUAGGCAGGAGCUUGGUCCCAAACAACACACCCAUGUGUGCUGAGGACACGCUCCAGGGGAUUCUUACGCCCGCCUGCAUCAGAGAACCCAGGUCUUGUGGGCGAGGCAGCGUGGAGAGGGAGCGCAGCUCUGGAGACGGCCCCCAGGGCUUGCGGGCGGGCGGGCGAGGCAGCGUGGAGAGCGGAGAGCGAAGCUCUGGAGACGACCCCCAGAGGAGAUUGGCCAAGUGCGGAUGUGCGAGUCCUCCCUGCCCGAGGCGCAAACUGUCUCACUCCAAAGGGCGUCCGGAGGGUUCUGCGGGGCGGCUGUGCACUGACACCUGCCCCCCACGUGGGAGUCCGCCGGCUCCUGGCCCUUGCCGGUUGGUGUUGCGCGUCUGAGAUGACGCCCCUGCGGUAGGAGCGGGGUUUCCCUGAUCACCGCUUCUUUUGACCAUCUUUUCUGGCAGGGCCUUGUAUUUUUAAAAUGUGUAAAGGUUAAGCUUUCUGAGAUCAGAAAAAUAAUAUUUAGUGAACCAUGUGAUUUAAGUCACUGUGUAUGUGACAUGAAAUAUUUAUACCUAACCCACUAGCAAAUGGCUCGUUAAACAUAUUUGAGAUUUAAUGUAAGUGAGAAUUCUGCCAACCAAGUCAGGAUAAACCUUAAACAUCGGGAAUGCAAAA
rnacentral:lncRNA from 1 species